GUAGGGUGCGAGCGUUAAUCGGAAUUACUGGGCGUAAAGCGUGCGCAGGCGGUUGGCAAAGUCAGCUGUGAAAGCCCCGGGCUUAACCUGGGAAUGGCGGUUGAAACUAGUCGACUAGAAUCUGGCRGAGGGGGGUGGAAUUCCACGUGUAGCAGUGAAAUGCGUAGAGAUGUGGAGGAACACCGAUGGCGAAGGCAGCCCCCUGGGCUGAGAUUGACGCUCAGGCACGAAAGCGUGGGGAGCAAACAGGAUUAGAUACCCUGGUAGUCCACGCCCUAAACGAUGUCAACUAGGUGUUGGGAGCGCAAGUUCUCAGUACCGCAGCKARCGCGUGAAGUUGACCGCCUGGGGAGUACGGUC
rnacentral:rRNA from 1 species